CACCACACAAGGAUAUAAGGUUUUUCUUCUUUUAGUAAUGAAUUGAAAAGUUAGAACUGUUUACAAAUGAAAUUUAGACCUUUUUAAAUAAAAUAAAAAGUAAAUUGUCCUUCAAAAAGAUUGAGAAAAUAGUCCUUUAUCCAAAAGUGGAAAAAUAAAGAGUUCCUUUAAGUUGUUGUUCAAAAAGAAAAAAUAGUUCCUUUCAAGUAGUUCCUUUCAAGUAGUUCAGUUGGUUCAGUUCAGAACAGUUCAAUCCUUGGUUCAGUUGUAAAGUGUCAAUUCAAGUAGUCAAUAAGUCAAGUCAGUCAUAGUCAGUAUGAUGUGACUCUAGUAGGCCACAAUCCUACCAGAUAUGCCAUGUGCAAUGACAUAGAACAGGAUCACACUCAAUGGUUGGGUUGGCUCGCCAUCAGAUGUAGUCGACGAAUCCUCAGCGAAAUCCAGAUCCAGCUCAAAAACUUGACCUGUGUAACCAUACCCUAAGUUAAGCUACACAUUCAGGCAACUUUCAGUUUCAGUUUUCUAUCACAUAUCAAACAGUUUCAAUUUCAAGUAGUUGUACAACAUUUAAAUCAAUAUUCUCAAAAGAAAAGCUAUGCAAACUGCAUACACUUUGUUCAUACUGAAAAGCAUUGCAUACCAUUCAGUUAAAUUACCAUUAUCAAGUAAACAGGAUGAAUACUAUGAAAUAUACUGAAAUCGCGGUAACCUUGCACAACAUUACCGAGUACAGCGGCUAUCAUGAAAACACGUUCAGCUCUCUCACCUCUCACGCGCUGAGUGCGAGAUCACUGCAUGUGCAAUACGUUCAGCUCAUACCGAGCUUAAAGCUACUUAUUUCAACCAAAAUACACUUUCAGAAUCAUUACAACACGUAUUAACAAACAAAAUACAAUUCUUAGGUUUCACUGAAGUAUUUAGCAGUGAUAAACAUCAUAAGACUUAGGUUUCAGCAGUUCAGCAGAAAGAUAGAAAAGUUCUCUUACCGAGACGAUUCAAACAAAAAGAAAAACAUUCGAUGAAACAAAGCUUCUGGUCUUCAAAACAUACAGCAACAUACAGCGCUGGUCACUCAAUACUCCAAAAAGGAAACUUAUAGUUCAAAACAACUUAGAAUUACUUUCUUUCAAUAGUUUCUAUCUCCGAGGAAAAUGGAUGCUUCUGCUCUCUGGCUCCCGCUAGCUCAAAAGACAGAACGGCUCCACAGGAAACCGUAUGCCUGGAAAACGCACGUCAAAAUAAAAGCACACAUACGUAAGAGUCACAGUAAAAGUACUGCUAUAUCAAAUACAUGUAAAUCAUGUUUUUAACAAUGACAACCCAUCAUUCAUGAAUUGUUUCAUCAGAAUUACACCUGUUUAUUAUCCCUUUUUACUAUUUAUGCUUUUUAUCACUAUUUAUUGUACUUUCUUAUUAUGCAUUUGUCACCUGGGUUACACCCUCCCUCUCUAAACUGGCAUGAGUCCCUUCAUGACAUUUUCCCGUGGGAAAGGGUUACCCUCAAACGUUUCAACUAAAGCAUUGUUGAAAGCUUCAAGAAUACUGUGGGCAAAAGAAAUAAAUGGUUUGCCUAAUUGGGGAUAGGUAAACUUUGCGGGUGCUCUUCUCUGACGUUCAGAUCUACGCAAUGCGUCAUGAUCUGGCUCACUAACAGUAUCUGGACUCUCUACAGGACUUGACUCUGUAGGACAGGGUGUGUCAGUGUUGGGAACAACUGGCAAGUCAGAUACAGUCAGUAAUGGGGUUUCAGUGUCAGUCUUUUCAUGUUGAACAACUUCUGAUUCUACAGUGUCAUUCUGCUCUUGAGAAAUGUUAGUUGUCGGCUCACUUAAAGUGAUUGGUUCUUCUUCUUGAUCAUUCUCUGUUUGUUUUGUUUCUUCAGGUUCAAUGGAUGACUCAGGUUCUGCAUUCGUGUUGCUCUGGUUCGAAGGCAAUUCUUUUUCUACAGGCUCUACAUCAACUGAAUCAUCAGGUGGAAACUGAAUAAGGCUGGGUUCUUCUUCUGCAAUAGGAGAACUUGGGAUAUCAGAGCAUUGAACUUCAGGAGUAAUUUCAAGUAAGUUUUCAGGUAUAGUUUGAGAAUGAGUCGGAGGACUUGAUUCAUUUCCAAGCUGUGCAACAUCUGGAGCUCCUCCAGUUGAAUGCAUCACUUCAGGACCAAUGAUUCUUGUCUCUACCUCAAAACGUAGAGGAUAUGACAGCGGAUAGUCCUCUUCAUCAGACUCGUCAGGGUUUUCAGCUGGCUGAGUACUUUGUCUGGUUCUGGGUCUAGAGACUCGUACAGGCUGUUCAGGCUCUGCGUCUUCUUCAGCAAGAAACCCGCAGGGCAAUAGGAGAUCCCUGUGUAGAGUACGGGUGGGUCCGUCCUGACCAGCAGGACACACCGUGUAUACUGGCAACUCUCCUGCUCUCUUCUGUACAACAUACACAGUGGGCUCCCAUCGAUCAGCAAGUUUAUGCUUGGUGCGAAGUCUGAGGUUACGUACAAGAACUCGAUCGCCUACUUCCAGACAUGACUCUCUCACUCUCAUAUCAAACCUCUUUUUGUUCUUGUCAGCUACUUUCUUUGCAUUUUUAAUGGCAAUGUUGUAGCUUUCCUUCAAGUAGGACUUCAGAUUUUUCACGUACUGACAGUGUGACGUGGAUGAGGCUCCUUUGACUGGCAACCCAAAAGCUAUGUCGAUGGGCAAUCUGGGCUGGCGCCCAAACAUGAGCUCAUACGGAGAAUACCCAGUCACCUCAUUCCGAGUACAGUUGUAUGCGUGUGUUAAUGGCUUGACAUACUCGCGCCAUCUGGUCUUUUCUUUCUCCCUCAGAGUACCCAACAUACUCAGCAGAGUACGAUUGUAGCGCUCUACAGGGUUACCUCUGGGGUGAUAGGGACUUGUUCUGACUUUCUUUGUACCAACUAAGGCACAGAGCUCUUUGACAAUUUGUGACUCAAAGUCACGGCCUUGAUCGCUGUGUAGGCGCUCUGGGAAGCCAUAAUGGAUGAAGAAUUGCUCCCACAGGCAACGCGCGACAGUGAUGGCCUUUUGGUCUUUCGUGGGUAUCGCUACAGCAUACUUUGUGAAAUGGUCAGUAAUUACCAGUAUGUCCUUUGUGUUGUGGCUGUCCGGUUCGAGGGACAAGAAGUCCAUACAGACCAGUUCCAUGGGUCGGCUGGUUUGGAUACUGACCAUCGGCGCGGCCUUCUCUGGCUGAUGUUUGCGUUUGACACACCUCGGGCAGGUUUUGACCUUGGACUCAACAUCUGCUGACAUCUUCGGCCAAUAAAACCUGGACCUGGCCAGCUCAAGGGUGCGCUCGAUACCGAGAUGACCCAUCUCAUCAUGGAGACUGGUAAGUACGGAUGACCUCAAAACACGUGGAAGAACAAGUUGGUACUCUGUCCUGUCUUCACACUGUCGCUUUCGGUACAACAGUGAAUUCUUGACUUCAAGGCGGCUCAUCUCUCUCAGCAUAAGCAUCAGCUCUGGUGACUGUACGCCCUGUUGAGGUGCAGGCUCACCAGAUUCAAGUGCCUUGAUGAUCACGCUGAUUGAGGGAUCUUCUCGUUGUAGUCUGGCUAUAUCACCCUCGCUGUGCUGUGGAACAGAGCAGAGGCCUUGCAACUCUGACUCUGCAUCCUCAAACACGGGCGGAAUGGCAUCAGGGUGGAUAGCGAGUGACUCCACGAGACAAUGAGACGAAGACUCCUCAUUCACUACUGCAUGGUACUGACAGGUGGCCUUGACAACGUCCACAGGAGUUAGAUGGUGGGAGGUGAAUUGAUGGAUCCGCAGACUCUCCUCUUGUGAGCAGUUGUCAUUCACCAGUGGUCCGUGAGGCCUCCUUGACAGACCAUCAGCGUCUUGGUUUUGCUUGCCCGCACGAUACUGGAUGUCAAAAGAGAAGGUGGACAGGGCAGCUAGCCAACGAUAGCUGGUCGCGUCUAGCUUUGCCGUGGUAAGAAUGUACCGAAGCGGAUUGUUGUCAGUCACAACAGUGAAUGAAUGCCCAUAUAAGUAGUCUUGAAAUUUUUCAACGACAGCCCAUUUUAAGGCUAAAAAUUCCAACUUAUGCGCUGGGUAUCUUGCUUCACUUUGUGACAGGCCACGGCUGGCGUAAGCUAUUACGCGCUUCUGUCCAUCCUGUUCUUGAUACAGGGCAGCUCCGAGUCCCGUAGUGCUUGCAUCUGUAUGCAAGACGUAUGGUAACUCUGGAUUAGCAAAACCCAGGACUGGCGAUGAGGUGAGUCUUUCAAUUAUUAGUUCGAAGGCAAUCUGACAAGCUGGUGUCCAUCUCUCUCCGAAUGGCUCCUUCGGAUGGAAGUACAUCACGUCAGUCUUGGUUUUCUGGGCGGACUUUCGUGCUGGUGGAUAUCCCGCAGUUAGCUUAGUCAGCGGUUUGACUAUUUUUGAAUAAUCCUGCACAAACCUCCGGUAAUAACCAGAGAAACCGAGAAAAGAACGGAGUUCUUUCAAGGUACGGGGUCUCGGCCAAGUCUUGAGUGCUUCGAUCUUCUGGGGAUCGGUCUCCACUCCUUUCUGUGAGACAAUGUGUCCCAAAUAACGUACAGAUGUUUGAAAGAAGCGGCAUUUCUCUGGAGAUAACUUGAGGCCAUUCUCCCUCAGUCGAUCCAGGACUUUGGUUAGACGAGCCUCAUGUUCCUCCAGCGUUUGGGAGAAGACUAUGAUGUCGUCAAGGAAUACUAGCACUUCACGCAGAUGGAUAUCGCCCAUGCACUUCUCCAUUAAGCGCUGGAACGUGCUUGGAGCAUUCGUGAUUCCUUGUGGCAUACGAUUCCACUCCCAAAAUCCGAGGGGACAUACAAAAGCAGUUUUUGGUUUGUCAUCUUCGUGCAUCUCAAUCUGGUAAUAUCCGGAUUUCAGAUCCAUCACGGAAAACCACUGUGAUCCGCUUAACGCAGAAAAUGACUCUUCAAGGUUCGGUAAUGCAUAAGCGUCUUUGAUCGUUUGCAUAUUCAAUCUCCUAUAGUCGACACAUAGGCGUGGGUCGCCAUUCUUCUUUUUCACUACGACUAUAGGUGAAGCAUAUGGGGAUUCUGAUUCACGGAUGAUACCCGCUUCAAGAAGGGUUUGAAGAUGUCGUCUCACAGCGUCGUAAUCCUUAGGAUGGAUAGGACGGGGUCGAUGCUUAAAUGGCGUCUCAUCCUUCAGUUUGAUACGAUGUUUGACUUUCGUCGCGUGACCAAAAUCGAGGUCAUGAUGGGAAAACACAUCAGAGUAGGUGUUCAGUGUCUGUGUUAUUCGUUCCUUCCAUUUUGCAGGAAGUGGAGAAUUUCCGAAUUCAAAACUCAGGCUGGCAUUCUGCUGCUCUUCAUGACAGGAAUGUUGCUGACUGGAGCAGACAGUGGAUGACAGGGGCAAUUGACUGGGGCUACAGGUGUUGUGAGUCUGGCUGAUCUCAUGAGGUAUAGCGAGUUCUGCAAUGACAGAGUUACUUGGCAAGACGAUGUCAUGGCUGGUUUCAUUUCGCAGCAAAACUGGCACCUUGUACGGGGAACGUGCCGGAAUAGAGAUCAAGCAGCUGUCAAUAAAGAUUCCCCCUGGCAAGGACGAGAUAGAGGGCUCUUCAAGUACUGCCCAUCUCUCGUUGUUCGCUUCACUUCCAAAAACAAAGCCUUCCAAGACAACCUUCCGUCCGGCAGGGACAAUACCUGGUUCAUGACGACUUAACUUCACAACACCAAUCUGACCCUCUGAGUUUUGUUUUCGUCUGAGCUGCAGGGUUUUCAGGACUUGUUGGUAGCCACAGUAUGUGUUGCUUACCAGAGGACUUUCAUCACAGAACUGUUCAUAGAGGGGGUCUAGAGUAUUCGUACCAAUUAGCACAGGCACGCUACUGUUGGAGCGAGUGUCUGGUACUAUCAGGGCAAGAGUCUGUACUUCAGGUUGUGAAGCCAUAAAUUCUUUAGGGAACUGCAUACUUAACUGUAUGUAGCCUAGGUAGGGGACUGCCUGGCCGUUUGCACCUUCAACGUCCAGUAUGUCACUCACUGGGCGUAUCGGGUGAUCAGAGAGGUGUGAAUCAUAGUAAGACUGAGACACAGUCGUAACUUGUGACCCAGUGUCAAGCAGUGAGUUACAUUCAAUUCCAUUCACUUUCACAUUUGCUGUGCUCUUUUUUCCUACUAGGCCUCUAGGCAGUUCUCCUGUUCUUACAGCUCUGUGUUCGUUAAGUGUCACUUUUUCCUUGACUUUCUGUGUCGUGGUGGGACUGUUUGUCAACUCUGUUCCUAUUUGUCCCUCAAUAGAAACAGUUACUUGUUUAAAGAACUUUCAACAACAGGGUUUGCUUUUUUCCACGCUGUCUGUCUUUCUUUCAGCUCUUUUCUCUUUGCGUUAACUAGUGCAGGGUUUGGUGUAUCAGUGCAGCUGGUUGCUAUAUGCCCAUCCUCACCACAUUGGAAACAAUACCACGGUCUGGGCUUUUUCGGCGUGGUGUCUGGUUUUUGUGCUUGUGCUUCAGCACUGGCUUGUUCUUUUGGUGUAGGUUUCUGCUUUUUCUUUCCAGCUUGGGGUUUAUUUGGCGGUUUGUCUUUGGGGUAGGAAAGCGCUGCAAUCUGAGCUUGGAGGUCAGCUAUCUGCUUUUGAAGCUGAUUCAUCGCUGAUGGAGGAGUUUCAGAUGGACAUGGUAAGUUAUACUCGUUGUUAGGUUCAUACAGGUUCUGUGCUUGAGCUUGAACUUGGACUUUGGUCUUUGUGAAACCGAGAUGCUGUUUCAUUCUGUUCGCUUUGGCUGUUUGUUUAUCUUCUUCCAUGCGCAGGAGCAACAGCAGCUCUGUAAAGGUGGGGGGCUGCUCCUUUCGCUUUUCAAGCUGAAGUGUGCUGAUCAAAGUAUUAUUCCAACAGCCUCUGCAGAAUUGUUUCAGAAGCUGUCUGUCUGAAUCAGUUGGUGAUAUGGCUUUCACCUUCACAAUCUUGUUCAGAGCGGUCUGAAGACGAUGAAGAUAACCGGAUGGCUUCUCACCGGAGUUCUGGUUGAUGUUAAGAAACUCUGCAAACAGAUCGUCUCCAUCUUUCACUAUGCCAUAAGCAGAAUCGAGCAGGUCAAGAUAAGCUCUUGGGGGACAAUAAGGACCUAAUGACUUCACUACUGUAGCAGCUGGGGUUAAAAGACUGUCAACAAUCUUCCUCACAAGUUGUCCUUUAGGGACAGACGGAUCAGCUAUGUAAAACUCCACAUUGUUUCGCCAUGUGUCGUAAUCAACCUCAGUGCUUGGACAUGGAACUCUGCCCGAAAAAGUCCUCAGCUUCACUGAGUGUAGGUCUGAACGAAGGUCGGAGCUCUUCACUACAUGCUCAACAAUGAACCGUUGCAUCUCAGGCGGGUUCAGGUGAUCAGGCGCUGGCUUCAGUUGCGGAAGUGAGUCAGGUCGGCUUAUGUCAGGGGUAAUAGUUCUAGUGGGCUCUAGAGUGUGUGCAUUUUCGGGUUCAGUACAAGAGGGAGUCUGUGCUGUUGGUUUAUCACCUAAGUCAAUUAGCUCUGUAUCUUUAACGUUUUCAGCUGCUGGCUUUGUCUGGCCAACAAGGUUAGAGAUUCUGGCUAACUCAUCUUGUAAGAGUGUUUCAAACGAUUUCCCACUAAGUUUGGCAAUGUCCUUUAAGCUGAGUUAGGAAUGACUCUGUUAAACCUGUACCUUUCUCUGAUGAGUACACAUUUGCAAGAGCAUCAACAUGGUGAACAAUGUCAGUGUCACCGUCACAAACUCUGUCAAAAGGCAAAGAACCUUGGAGUGUUUCAACAGCUAAUCCAGAUUCAAAUUCAAGAACGACUUGGUCGCUAGCAUCAGGCACUUUGAUUAUUCUGGAAAUUUUACCAUAUUGCUUCAAAUAUUCAAAAACCUCAUUGUCAACCUCAGUUUCUGUUAAACCCCUUAUAAGAAGAGAGUUAGGCACUUUCACACUAGCUAGUGUAACAAUUUCCAUUGUAAUCAAAACAAAACACAACACUUAAAGGCAAUAGUCAAAAAGAGAAAAAAUACAAAAAAUUGUGGCGAUUGCACUUAAAAUAAACACUCCUGGCUGGCUCGCCAAGUUUUACCGUGUAACCCACUACUGAGUAUGUACACGUCACUGUUGGACCAGUUUCUAAUAACUAGAAAACAAGAGACACUAAGCUCUGCAAGACAAGUGCAAUUAAAAGACACCACACAAGGAUAUAAGGUUUUUCUUCUUUUAGUAAUGAAUUGAAAAGUUAGAACUGUUUACAAAUGAAAUUUAGACCUUUUUAAAUAAAAUAAAAAGUAAAUUGUCCUUCAAAAAGAUUGAGAAAAUAGUCCUUUAUCCAAAAGUGGAAAAAUAAAGAGUUCCUUUAAGUUGUUGUUCAAAAAGAAAAAAUAGUUCCUUUCAAGUAGUUCCUUUCAAGUAGUUCAGUUGGUUCAGUUCAGAACAGUUCAAUCCUUGGUUCAGUUGUAAAGUGUCAAUUCAAGUAGUCAAUAAGUCAAGUCAGUCAUAGUCAGUAUGAUGUGACUCUAGUAGGCCACAAUCCUACCAGAUAUGCCAUGUGCAAUGACAUAGAACAGGAUCACACUCAAUGGUUGGGUUGGCUCGCCAUCAGAUGUAGUCGACGAAUCCUCAGCGAAAUCCAGAUCCAGCUCAAAAACUUGACCUGUGUAACCAUACCCUAAGUUAAGCUACACAUUCAGGCAACUUUCAGUUUCAGUUUUCUAUCACAUAUCAAACAGUUUCAAUUUCAAGUAGUUGUACAACAUUUAAAUCAAUAUUCUCAAAAGAAAAGCUAUGCAAACUGCAUACACUUUGUUCAUACUGAAAAGCAUUGCAUACCAUUCAGUUAAAUUACCAUUAUCAAGUAAACAGGAUGAAUACUAUGAAAUAUACUGAAAUCGCGGUAACCUUGCACAACAUUACCGAGUACAGCGGCUAUCAUGAAAACACGUUCAGCUCUCUCACCUCUCACGCGCUGAGUGCGAGAUCACUGCAUGUGCAAUACGUUCAGCUCAUACCGAGCUUAAAGCUACUUAUUUCAACCAAAAUACACUUUCAGAAUCAUUACAACACGUAUUAACAAACAAAAUACAAUUCUUAGGUUUCACUGAAGUAUUUAGCAGUGAUAAACAUCAUAAGACUUAGGUUUCAGCAGUUCAGCAGAAAGAUAGAAAAGUUCUCUUACCGAGACGAUUCAAACAAAAAGAAAAACAUUCGAUGAAACAAAGCUUCUGGUCUUCAAAACAUACAGCAACAUACAGCGCUGGUCACUCAAUACUCCAAAAAGGAAACUUAUAGUUCAAAACAACUUAGAAUUACUUUCUUUCAAUAGUUUCUAUCUCCGAGGAAAAUGGAUGCUUCUGCUCUCUGGCUCCCGCUAGCUCAAAAGACAGAACGGCUCCACAGGAAACCGUAUGCCUGGAAAACGCACGUCAAAAUAAAAGCACACAUACGUAAGAGUCACAGUAAAAGUACUGCUAUAUCAAAUACAUGUAAAUCAUGUUUUUAACAAUGACAACCCAUCAUUCAUGAAUUGUUUCAUCAGAAUUACACCUGUUUAUUAUCCCUUUUUACUAUUUAUGCUUUUUAUCACUAUUUAUUGUACUUUCUUAUUAUGCAUUUGUCACCUGGGUUACAUU